rnacentral:rRNA from 1 species
CCUACGGGUGGCAGCAGUGGGGAAUAUUGGACAAUGGGCGAAAGCCUGAUCCAGCCAUGCCGCGUGUGUGAAGAAGGCCUUCGGGUUGUAAAGCACUUUCAGUAGGGAAGAAAGCCUUGGGGCUAAUACCCUCGAGGAAGGACAUCACCCACAGAAGAAGCACCGGCUAACUCCGUGCCAGCAGCCGCGGUAAUACGGAGGGUGCGAGCGUUAAUCGGAAUUACUGGGCGUAAAGCGCGCGUAGGCGGUCUGAUAAGCCGGUUGUGAAAGCCCCGGGCUCAACCUGGGAACGGCAUCCGGAACUGUCAGGCUAGAGUGCAGGAGAGGAAGGUAGAAUUCCCGGUGUAGCGGUGAAUGCGUAGAGAUCGGGAGGAAUACCAGUGGCGAAGGCGGCCUUCUGGACUGACACUGACGCUGAGGUGCGAAAGCGUGGGUAGCAAACAGGAUUAGAUACCCGAGUAGUC